UUCCUACGGGGCGCAGCAGUGAGGAAUAUUGGUCAAUGGGCGCAAGCCUGAACCAGCCAAGUCGCGUGAGGGAUGACGGUCCUAUGGAUUGUAAACCUCUUUUGUCGGGGAGCAAGGCCCGCCACGUGUGGCGGGAAGGAGAGUACCCGAAGAAAAAGCAUCGGCUAACUCCGUGCCAGCAGCCGCGGUAAUACGGAGGAUGCGAGCUUUAUCCGGAUUUAUUGGGUUUAAAUGGUGCGUAGGCGGAAGGUUAAGUCAGCGGUCAAAUUUCGGUGCUCAACCACGGCCUGCCGGUGAAACUGGUU
rnacentral:rRNA from 1 species